ensembl:lncRNA
AAAAAGUAAACACAGCCAUGUUAGAGAGUAGUUGCAAAUGUUAGCCACCUCUAGAGCCAUGUACCUAUCCUUGUUCCACACAUGAAGCUUCCACUGAUCCUCCACUGGGAGUUUUGGGGAAAACUAAAGACUGGAAAGUGGCCCAUUAAUUGUGUUACUUGAAAUAUGGGCAAGGCUGUGUAAGAGACUUGUUGCUCUAAAUCCUACAAGUAAUGGUGCCAUCCUCAGAGUACCCAUGACUGACUUGAGCCUAAUUUAACCAACCUGAAAUUACCACUCUUCACUUGCUGUAAAUUUCAGGCUUGUCUACACCAGGGGUUCUCAACCUUUUUCUUGCUGAGGCCCCCCUCAACAUGCUAUAAAAAUGCCAGGGCCCAGUGGGGGUGGGGGGUAACUCAGGGCUCCAGGCCGGGUGGCGGCACUCUUGUGUAUAGGUGUAGUUUUACUUCUAUUUGGGGGUCCAGGGAGGGAGCGCCACUUCCACCCCCGACUCACUCAGGAGAUCACCCAGCCUGUCUGGGGAUGCAACUGAAAAAUAUAAUGCAGAGAGGGGGACUCAGUUCAAAAAAAGGUUAAAAACCACUCAGGGUGCAGGCAGGGGGUAGCUAGGGGCUGUGUGAAGUGAGGGGGUAGCUCAGGGUGCAGGCAGGGGGUAGCUAGGGGCUGUGUACAGACACAUGGGGGGGGGGCUCCCAAUGCAGCUCCCAGCUUCAGCCCCCACUGCUCCUGGCUUAUUUAGUGUCCUGCAUCAUGCUGGGCAGUGUCAGUGCUUAACAAAUAAUACAGCCUUACCUGUCUGAUGAAACUACCUAUUUUGUAUUUUCACUUCCUUAGAGCCCAGAUGUGAACCCAAUUGCAUGUCCUUCUAAUGCCUUCUGCCCAGCUGGGAGCACUCAACCACAAUAUUGUAUGGAAACAUUUCUUUAUAAGGCAGGAAACUCUUGUGAACUGGCUCCUCUAACCAUUGUAUUACUAGCUGUUUCUUCAGCAGGUGGAGUCCUGCUUGUGUCUGUAAUAAUUCUGAAACAAAGGCAAGAAAAUGGCAGGAAAACUUUAAAAUCUCCAUUACUUUCAAAAGGAGCGAGACCACACACAACUUAUGGUGUGACUGGGCGCACAGAACCAGUAUAUGCUGGCUGGUAGUCGGCUAGGAUUGUAUAGAGUUGUAAAAAUCACAAGCAUUUUCCCAGUUUCUUUUCUCAUGUCUGGUGAUUUGACAGAUGUUUAUUUAGGACUGUGGGUCUGGGCAGAAUGUAAAACAUUAUUAAUCCAUGGGGAUUUGUUUGUGUAGCCAAAAUAUUUAAUUUUAGCCAUGAGUGAACAAAAAUGAAACUUAGAAAGUGAUUUGAUUUGUCUGGCUUAAUUCAGGAAAAAGAAUAGGUGCAUCCUUGCACAUUAUCACUCCCACCGCCAAGGGAGAAAAUUGUGUGUCAUGGCAAUCCUCUCAAUUUCAACAACAGACAAUACCAUGAGUGAGCAUGUGGUAGCAUCAUUUAACAUGGUCUCUUUACAGUAUGCUAGCUAUUCCUACCAUGGCAGGACUUAACACAAACAUAAUUCCUCUUCAGAACAUACAGAAUCUCUUCUUCCACUCCCAGAACAUGACUGUUUCCCCUAAGCAGGAGUGGGGCAGAGAAAGCUGCAUGAUCCCAGAUUCACCCUUCCCCCAUAACUGAGAGAGGAUAUCUGUAGGGAAAGUGGUGGGCAAUUAUGGAAAAAUACCUCUCCAGUGUUUGCUGCUAGACCCCAAUGAAACUGGCUGCAGAAGCUGCUCACUAUUAUAGGGCUGCUGCAUCAGGGAAGCAGCCCAACAGUCAUUUCCUCUCCUUCAAGGCACUCAGCUCUAAAUGCAACCCGGCCCCUCAGAGCCACCGAACUGCACAUAGCAUUGGUGAGCAGGAGCAACAAAAGGAAUGUCUACUCUGCAAAAACAGACCCAUAGUAGCAAAUCUCAGAGUCCAUGUCAACUGACUUGGGCUUACAGCACGCCCCCCCAGCCAGGUUUCAGAGCCCAGGCUCCAGCCCGAGCCCGAAUAUCUACACUGCUAUAUUUUAGCCCCAGAGUGUGAACCCGAGUCAGUUGAACUGGGUUCUGAGACUCACUACUGAGAGUCUUUUUUUUGCUGCAAACACAUAACCAAAA